rnacentral:rRNA from 1 species
UACAGAGGGUGCGAGCGUUAAUCGGAAUUACUGGGCGUAAAGCGCGCGUAGACGGUUUUGUAAGUCAGAUGUGAAAUCUCUGGGCUCAACCUGGGAACUGCAUUUGUGACUGCACGGCUGGAGUGCGGCAGAGGGGGAUGGAAUUCCGCGUGUAGCAGUGAAAUGCGUAGAUAUGCGGAGGAACACCGAUGGCGAAGGCAAUCCCCUGGGCCUGCACUGACGCUCAUGCACGAAAGCGUGGGGAGCAAACAGG